AAUGAACGCUAGCGGCAGGCCUAAUACAUGCAAGACGAACGGUAAGUUGAGUAGCAAUACUUAGCCAAGAGUGUCGUACGGGUGCGUAACACGUAUGCAACCUACCCUAUACAGGAGGAUAGCCUAGGGAAACCUGGAUUAACCCUUCAUAGUAUUAUUGGAUGGCAUCAUUUGAUAAUUAAAACUGAGGUGGUAUAGGAUGGGCAUGCGUCUGAUUAGUUAGUUGGCGGGGUAAUGGCCCACCAAGACGAUGAUCAGUAGGGGUUCUGAGAGGAAGAUCCCCCACACUGGCACUGAGAUACGGGCCAGACUCCUACGGGAGCAGCAGUAGGGAAUAUUGGGUCAAAUGGAUGCAAGUCUGAACCAGCCAUGCCGCGUGCAGGAAGAAGGCCUUCUGGGUUGUAAACUGCUUUUGCCAGGGGAUAAAAUUUCCAUGCGUGGAAAACUGAAGGUACCUGGUGAAUAAGCCACGGCUAACUACGUGCCAGCAGCCG
rnacentral:rRNA from 1 species